rnacentral:lncRNA from 1 species
UCCUCGCAUAUCAAAACGGCGGGGGUGUUUGGCCUUGGCAAUGGCAAGACAAGCAUUUUGUCUCAGCUUUCUUCUCUGGGCUACAUUCACAAUGUCUUUGGCCAUUGCUUGAGUUCCAAAGGAGGAGGUCGUUUAUUCCUUGGUGAUGAUAUUAAAACCUCCAAGACUCUUGUUUGGACACCUAUCUUGCGCAGUUCCUCCUCCUCCAAUAUGUAAGGGUCACUGGGUCACUCACUCUAUUUUAAAAUAACUGUCGUAUUAACUAAAUGUUGUUAACUUGUUAUUCAAAAAUACUAUUUUUUUCGCUAAAAUUUGUUACUAAAAUCAAUUAUCAUGUCUAUUUGUGUAUAAAUAUAUGUUAUUUAAUUCAUUUUUUUAUGUUAAUUUUAUAUUCUAUUAUAUAUUUUAUACUAAUAGUUAAUUUUAGUGGCUCAUAUACCUAGCAGUUAGUUAUUAUUAGAACAUUUUUAAAUAAUAAAAAUUUUAUUUGCAUAUUAAAAUCAGUUGUCAAAUUCAGUCAUCAAAUAUGUAUACGAAAAUAUUUGGUAACUAAAAAAAAUUAGUCAAAAACAACCAUAACUUGCUUUAUUUAACUAAAUUGUUACGAUAAUUAAUGAAUGCUAAAUAAGGUAAGUUCUGGUUUUUUUUUUUUGUCUCCCUAACAUUACCGGUGUGUAUAAAUAUUGAUAGUUAAUUAUAGCGACUGAUUAAAUAAAAUUAUUCCUCGAUUUAGAUUAUUUAAAUGAGGAGUGUUAGGGGUCAGCAAGUUUUGUGAUUUGUAGUCAUUAAUUAGCCAUCAUUAGUGUUUUUAAUGGUGUGAAAUUAUAUUCAAUAAUAUAAGAUUACUCAAUUCUUUUUUGAUAAUUAAGUAUAAAUUUUAAUAAAAGUGUUGACCCGUAUUCGAACCACCCUGGUUCGAAUUACGUGUAUCAUGGUUCGAACCAGGUUAGUUCGAAUUAGUAGGAGUCAGAGCUCUAUAUAAACGCUGUAAACGUGAUUUGCUCUCAUUAGAGGACGUAAGAUGGCUAGUGAGGAGGAGAGUUUUGCUGUUUUGGUACACCACAGAGGGUCCAUCAAGAGGAAAACUCGGUCCGGAGUGAAGUUCACAGAUAAGAAUCCUCUCUAUAUUGUGGUGAAUCGAACGACAAGCUAUGAUGACCUGGUUAGAGCUGUGCUGAUGAAACUUGGCCUGGAAGGUGCGAAGCGGAUUAAGAAGUUUUUCUAUCGCAUUCCAGUCACGAUCCUGCACGAUACGGUGAAGUAUGAUUGUCUCACGAUUGGUAGUGAUGAGGACCUCCAAGUCAUGUUUCUUUGUCGGAGGCAGUUUCCGGAGGUCCGCACACCAGAGUUGCUGGCAAAGCUGGUUGAUGUGGUAUCCAGCUCAGGGGGUUCGAACCGGAAUACCGCCAAUGUAGCCACUGCAGCUGGCUCCAGUUCGAUGGCUGCUGUGGCUUCUUCCUCCGUCCCAGUUUACGAGCCAGCGGCCCAACUUGUCGCCUCUCCGUCCUUUGCUGUUGAUUUGAAUGACGGCGUCCGCGACGAGGUAGGAUCCUUUGAUGUUAUGGCAAACGCUUUACAUGGCGUUCCACCGGUUGGCGUCGGAGACGGAGAAUUGGGUGAUCCUGAUGAGGACGACGUUGAGCCCGAAACGAUUGAGGAAGAUAGCGGGGACGAGCUUGUAGCGGCUGGGCCUGCAUUGGCUGGCGGUGGUUCUAGCUCUGGCACACAGCAGUAUCCACCAUAUUUUUCUUCGCUGGACCUGGACGCCAUGACGCAUGAGGGUGCGCUAGGUCACCCUGUUGGAUUCGGAGCUAGAGAUGCGGAAGGGAAUGCUGGUCUCACAGAGUUCCAGGUUGGUCAGCAAUUCCAGGAUAAAGAUGAGGCCCUGUUAAGUGUGAAGACUUACAGCAUCCGGCGAGGGGUACAGUACAAGGUGGUGGAGUCCGAUCACCGCCGGUAUGUGGGCAAGUGUUCCGAGUUCGGGAAUGGGUGCACAUGGUUGAUUCGGCUCAGUCUCCGGAAGCGGAAGGGCAUUUGGGAGGUCAAACGGUACAAUGGCCCUCACACUUGCCUGGCCACAUCCAUAUCAAGUGAUCACAGAAGUUUGGAUCAUUCUGUGAUUUCGGCGUUCAUUAUGCCAAUGGUUAGGGCUGACGCAUCGGUUAGCAUCAAGGUGCUCCUGAACGCCACGGCAGCGCAUUUUGGUUUUAGGCCGACUUACAGGAGGGUUUGGAUGGCGAAGCAGAAGGCCGUUGGUCUCAUCUACGGUGACUGGGAUGAGUCAUACAACGAGCUGCCUAGGUGGGUGUUGGGAGUCCAGCUGACGAUGCCUGGUACUGUUGCAGUCCUAAGGACGAGCCCCGUUCGAGUUGGAGGACAGGUAGACGAGUCUCAAGCAUAUUUUCACAGACUUUUCUGGACUUUUCCACCGUGCAUCGAGGCAUUCCGUCAUUGCAAGCCGCUAGUCAGCAUUGACGGCACACAUCUGUAUGGCAAGUACGGGGGAACGUUGCUCAUCGCGAUUGCACAGGACGGGAACUCCAACAUUCUACCUGUUGCAUUCGCAUUAGUAGAGGGUGAGAAUGCAGAGUCCUGGACAUUCUUUCUCUCCCACCUUCGACAGCACGUGACACCACAGCCGGGUCUGCUGGUUAUAUCGGACAGGCAUAACGGCAUCAAGGCUGCGCUUGAGGCUCCUGACGGAGGUUGGUUACCUCCAUCUGCCUACCGUGCAUUCUGCAUUCGACACGUAGUGGCUAAUUUUGCCCUUACCUUCAAGGGCAAAGACGCACAGAGCCAAAUAAUGAGUAAUUCGAACCAGGUUGGUUCGAAUUACUAUUGGAGCCAAAUAUUGAGUAAUUCGAACCAGGGUGGUUCGAAUUACUUGGUUCGCAUUUACAUCGAUAAUUCGAACAAGGCUGGUUCGAAUUAUGAGCAAGUGAAGUUCGAACCACCUUGGUUCGAAUUAUGUUCAACUCUUUCUUGGUAAUUCGAACUGCCCUGGUUCGAUUUAUAGCUAAAUGCAGUUCGAACCAGCCUGGUUCGAAUUACAUUAAAAUACAGUUUGGCUUAUUGCUGAAACGAUUUUCGUUUUGGCUGAUAUACGUAAAUAUGAAGUGAUGUUGGCUUAUUAGCGUUUUUUGUCCAAAUUUUUAUUAGCUCUAAUGAUUUUAUAAUUUAAAUUUUAUUAAAAUUUUACGUUUUAGAUACUUAAUUUAUUUAUUUUUUAUUUUACGUAAAACUUCAAUUUUUCCUGUGCAGCUUCUUUGUAUACUAUAUUGUAAUUGAUUUUUCCUUAAAAUUAAAUGAAUAUUUUGCUUUUUGUAUUGGUACAGAUAUUAUACGGUGAAAGUGGCAAUUGGAAAUCCACCUCAAUUAUACGACCUUGACAUUGACUCUGGUAGUGAUCUCACUUGGGUUCAGUCCAAAUCCUGUAAGACCUGCACACCUGUAAGCAAUGCAAUACAACAAUCAAUCGUAAAUUAAUUAAUUUAAUUUUAUACUUUUAUCAUUCAUUUUUACCCUAACAAUUUAGGAUGACAAAAAAAACAGUCAGAACUUGUCUUAUUUAUCAUUUAUUAAUUGUUGCAACCAUUAAUAAAUACUAAAUAAAACAAAUUAUGACUAUUUUUGGCUGAUUUUCUUUGGUUACUAACAUUUCCGCCUUAAUUAUAUAUUCUCCUUAAUUUUUGUGUCUUUAUGACUUGCAGCGUUCACAAUAUUAUCCGUAUAACCCCAACAGUAACAUCCAAUGCAAAGAACCCCUGUGUGCUGCGCUAAAUAGAAACUGCGCUCCACCAACUGGGCCAUGUAAAUAUAAAAUCGAGUAUGCAGACAAUGAAUUUUGUUCAGGGGUGCUUGUUAGGGACUUUAUUUCCUUUAGAUUAGACGAUGGCUCUAUUCUACAUCCUCAACUUGGCUUCGGGUGAGUGCUUACCAAGCUAAGUUAAUUACCUUCAUCUGUUUUUUCAAUCAAGUAUGUUAUCUGUACACCAAAAUCAGUCCUUAAGAUUAAUUAUUAGUAUAAAAUAUACAUUAAAAUAUAAAUAUAUAUUAAAAAUAAGUUAAAUUAUAUAUGUAUUUAUAUACAAAUACACUAGUGACUAAUUUUAAUAGCUGAUUUUAGUGUAUAAAUAGUAUUUUUUAUUUUAUAACUUUUGUAUAUAUGGUAGGAGUGGAUUUGAUCAAACACCUUCUAAUCAUCAUCAUUCCUCGCAUAUCAAAACGGCGGGGGUGUUUGGCCUUGGCAAUGGCAAGACAAGCAUUUUGUCUCAGCUUUCUUCUCUGGGCUACAUUCACAAUGUCUUUGGCCAUUGCUUGAGUUCCAAAGGAGGAGGUCGUUUAUUCCUUGGUGAUGAUAUUAAAACCUCCAAGACUCUUGUUUGGACACCUAUCUUGCGCAGUUCCUCCUCC